AGUGAACGCUGGCGGUAGGCCUAACACAUGCAAGUCGAACGGCAGCACAGUAAGAGCUUGCUCUUACGGGUGGCGAGUGGCGGACGGGUGAGGAAUACAUCGGAAUCUACUUUUUCGUGGGGGAUAACGUAGGGAAACUUACGCUAAUACCGCAUACGACCUACGGGUGAAAGCAGGGGAUCUUCGGACCUUGCGCGAUUGAAUGAGCCGAUGUCGGAUUAGCUAGUUGGCGGGGUAAAGGCCCACCAAGGCGACGAUCCGUAGCUGGUCUGAGAGGAUGAUCAGCCACACUGGAACUGAGACACGGUCCAGACUCCUACGGGAGGCAGCAGUGGGGAAUAUUGGACAAUGGGCGCAAGCCUGAUCCAGCCGUACCGCGUGGGUGAAGAAGGCCUUCGGGUUGUAAAGCCCUUUUGUUGGGAAAGAAAAGCAGCAGGUUAAUACCCCGCUGUUCUGACAGUACCCAAAGAAUAAGCACCGGCUAACUUCGUG
rnacentral:rRNA from 1 species